CUGGCAGGCGAGGAGGGAGGACGCAGAAGCAGGUUAGGUCUCACUCUUCCGUGACUCAAGGCUCCUGGACACCUGAAACACUACAUAAGGGGGCACGGGACAUCAACACCUGUGAUUACGCGAGUUCCAGACCAUGGUGGCUUGUUGGAGGGUCGACGCCUGGCAGGGUCCACCAUGCGCCACACCUGAAGAGCAACAAAGACGCCAGAGAGAGGAACACUUCAAAUGCCUCUGCAAAGCAUCGUGUGCGGUCUUAUUCAGAGAGAAUGAGGCGGCAUGCAGAGAUCGCUGCUUAUGCAUCCUCCCGGUGGACCAUCUCGCUGGUCGCCUUGAAAUGGAGCUCACUGACAUAUUUCUCCGUGUUUGCCUCCCAGCAGCUGCCAUAACUAGCCCGACUCUGAUGCCUGAGAGGGGGGGGACACCCUGGACGGUAGACACAGAGGGUCCAAUCGGUAAAUUCUCUUCAGAGGCAACCCAGCAGGAUGACACACCAGCAGCCGUCUCUCCCAGCAGUCUUAUUUUCCCUGAAGAAGACUCAAAUGGUUAAGAGGAAACAUAGAACUGUACACCUGCUAUACACCCCAAGUCCCUACAUCAGUCACUCCACCCAGGAUGAAUUCAUUAUGUAUAAGGGCAGGAUAAUUUGUUUGAUCGCCACAUCUGGAGGAUUUUUCAAUAAAUGGCCGGAUAUAGACA